GACGAACGCUGGCGGCGUGCUUAACACAUGCAAGUCGAACGAUGAAGCCGGAGCUUGCUCUGGUGAAUUAGUGGCGAACGGGUGAGUAACACGUGAGUAACCUGCCCUUGACUCUGGGAUAACUGCGGGAAACUGUAGCUAAUACCGGAUACGACCCUCGGAGGCAUCUCCUGGGGGUGGAAAGAAUUUCGGUCAAGGAUGGACUCGCGGCCUAUCAGCUAGUUGGUGAGGUAAAGGCUCACCAAGGCGACGACGGGUAGCCGGCCUGAGAGGGUGACCGGCCACACGGGGACUGAGACACUGCCCAGACUCCUACGGGAAGCAGCAGUGGGGAAUAUUGCACAAUGGGCGCAAGCCUGAUGCAGCAACGCCGCGUGAGGGAUGACGGCCUUCGGGUUGUAAACCUCUUUUAGCAGGGAAGAAGCGAAAGUGACGGUACCUGCAGAAAAGGCACCGGCUAACUACGUGCCAGCAGCCGCAGUAA
rnacentral:rRNA from 1 species